rnacentral:misc_RNA from 1 species
AACUUUUGGCAAUGGAUCUCUUGGUUUUGGCUAUCGAUGAAGAACGCAGCGAAAUGCGAUAAGUAAUGUGAAUUGCAGAAUUUGGUGAAUCAUCGAAUCUUUGAACGCACAUUGCACUCCUUGGUACUCCUUGGAGUAUACCUGUUCGAGCGCCGUUUGUGUCCUAAGGCAUCGCCUUGCGUUGACGCUGCUCCGCUAGGAGCCCGUCGUAACACAUCGGCGCCUUCUCUUGACCCGACCCGCAGCGAAAGUGCGUAUAAGGCAAGAGAGGGCGAGCCAGUCUCUCUGAAAGCAUGGCCUCGGAUCAGGUAGGGAUACCCGCUGAACUUAAGCAUAUCAUAAGCGGAGGC